rnacentral:tRNA from 1 species
GGGCGAUUAGCUCAGUUCGGUAGAGCGUCUCGUUUACACCGAGGAUGUCGGGAGUUCGAACCUCUCAUCGCCCACCA